UACGUAGGGGGGCAAGCGUUGUCCGGAUUUAUUGGGCGUAAAGAGCGUGUAGGCGGUUUGGUAGGUCCGCUGUGAAAACUCGAGGCUCAACCUCGAGACGCCGGUGGAAACCAUCAGGCUAGAGUCCGGAAGAGGAGAGUGGAAUUCCUGGUGUAGCGGUGAAAUGCGCAGAUAUCAGGAAGAACACCCGCGGCUAAGGCGGCUCUCUAGUACGGUACUGACGCUGAGACGCGAAAGCGUGGGGAGCGAACAGG
rnacentral:rRNA from 1 species